AAAAACAUGUCUGCUUGAAAAUAAGACCAGUCUGGCCUGCCCACUGAGAUAUUAAAGGGCCGCGGUAAUUUGACUGUGCGAAGGUAGCAUAAUCACUAGUCUUUUAAUUGAAGACUUGUAUGAACGGUUCGACAAAGAACUAACUCUCUUAGUAGCUUACAUUGAAGUUGACUUUUAAGUGAAGAGGCUUAAAUAAUUCUUAAAGACGAUAAGACCCUAUAAAACUUUACAUAUGCUUAAUUAAAAUUUUAAUUAUUUGUAAAAAGUUUUUUUUAAAAUUAUGUUUCAUUGGGGAGAUGAAAGUAUAAAUUUAACUGCUUAAUCUUUAAUACAAAAAUCUUUGAGUUUUAAUUGAUCCUUAGUUAGAGAUAAAAGUUAAGUUACUUUAGGGAUAACAGCGUUAUUCUUUUUGAGAGUCCCUAUCGACAAAAGAGUUUGCGACCUCGAUGUUGAAUUAAAAUUUCUUUAUAGUGCAGCCGCUAUAGGAGUAAGUCUGUUCGACUUUUAAAAUUUUACAUGAUUUGAGUUCAAACCGGUGCAAGCCAGGUUGGUUUCUAUC
rnacentral:rRNA from 1 species